CUACCUGCUGACUGGAGAGGUGAGGGAUUCUGGGUAAUGUCAUUAUGGAGAUCAUCUACCUGCUGACUGGAGAGGUGAGGGAUUCUGGGUAAUGUCAGUAUGGAGAUCAUCUACCUGCUGACUGGAGAGGUGAGGGAUUCUGGGUAAUGUCACCAUGGAGAUCAUCUACCUGCUGCCUGGAGAGGUGAGGGAUUCUGGGUAAUGUCAGUAUGGAGAUCAUCUACCUGCUGACUGGAGAGGUGAGGGAU
rnacentral:lncRNA from 1 species